rnacentral:rRNA from 1 species
GACGAACGCUGGCGGCGUGCUUAACACAUGCAAGUCGAACGAAGUGGCGAACGGGUGAGUAAUACGUGAGUAACCUGCCCUCCUUUUUGGGAUAAGCCUUGGAAACGGGGUAUAAUACAGAAUAAAGGGGGAUGGGCUCGCUGCCUAUCAGCUGGUUGGUGGGGUGCUGGCCUACCAAGGCGGUGACGGGUAGCCGGCCUGAGGGGGGGACCGGACAAAUUGGGACGGAGAUACGGCCCAGACUCGUACGGGAGAGAGGAGUGGGGGAUAUGGCACAAUGGGCGAGAGCCGUAUGCAGCGAUGCCGAGUGGGGGAUGGAGGCUUUGGGGUUGUAACCUUCUUUCGAUAAGGAAAGGGUAGGUGAAGAAGAAGCGUCGGCUAACUACGUGCCAGCAGCCGCGGUAAUAC